CGGCAGUUCCCGGAAGUGGAAAUCCACAGGUUCCCCGUCACGGGUGACCAAUAGGCUGACUCGCACGGUCUUUGUAACCCCUGACAGCGAACCUAUGGAUUUCCGCUCCCGUUAACCCCUUCGAUGCUGCGUUAUCUAACACAGCAUCGAAGGGGUUAACGGGAGCGGAAAUCCAUAGGUUAAAGGGCCGUGCAAGCGACCAAUAGGCUCACUCGCACGGCCCCUUAACCCCUUAAGGUGCAACAAGUGCACCAGGAGCCUAAAAGUCUCUACGAGCGACCAACAGAGUC